rnacentral:rRNA from 1 species
ACGGGAGGCAGCAGUGAGGAAUAUUGGUCAAUGGUCGGAAGACUGAACCAGCCAAGUAGCGUGAAGGAAGACUGCCCUACGGGUUGUAAACUUCUUUUAUGUGGGAAUAAAGUGCCCUACGCGUAGGGUUUUGUAUGUACCACAUGAAUAAGCAUCGGCUAAUUCCGUGCCAGCAGCCGCGGUAAUACGGAAGAUGCGAGCGUUAUCCGGAUUUAUUGGGUUUAAAGGGAGCGUAGGCGGAGACUUAAGUCAGCGGUUAAAGCGUGUGGCUCAACCAUACCACGCCGUUGAUACUGGGUCCCUUGAGUGCACAUAAGGAUGGUGGAAUUCAUGGUGUAGCGGUGAAAUGCUUAGAUAUCAUGAAGAACUCCGAUUGCGAAGGCAGCUGUCCGGGGUGUAACUGACGCUAAUGCUCGAAAGUGCGGGUAUCAAACAGGAUUAGAUACCCUGGUA